UACAGAGGGGGCAAGCGUUAUUCGGAAUUAUUGGGCGUAAAGGGCGCGUAGGCGGCUUUGCAAGUGACGGGUGAAAUCCCUCGGCUUAACCGAGGAACUGCCUGUCAGACUGCAUGGCUUGAGACCGGGAGAGGUGAGUGGAAUUCCCAGUGUAGCGGUGAAAUGCGUAGAUAUUGGGAGGAACACCAGUGGCGAAGGCGGCUCACUGGACCGGUACUGACGCUGAGGCGCGAAAGCGUGGGGAGCAAACAGGG
rnacentral:rRNA from 1 species